AGAUGCAAACGGAGAAACUGAAAAGGGGGUGAACAGGUCGCACCCUGAGGAUAAUGCCGAGAACCCUAGCAUCCCCAAAAGCCCACAAGAGGAAGUCGCGGGAGCUCACAAAUUGAGGGGGAUUCUCGCAUUGUGGAGUUCUAGGGUCUGCCAUUUUCAAUUUUCAGAGUCUAUUGACUGUAAUCUUGCUGCUUAUAUGUACCUGUGCUUAUAUUCGAUCCUUGGCACCCAGCCUCCUGGACAGAAAUAAAACUGGAUUGUUGGGUAUAUUUUGGAAGUGUGCCAGAAUUGGUGAACGGAAGAGUCCUUAUGUUGCAGUAUGCUGUAUAGUAAUGGCCUUCAGCAUCCUCUUCAUACAGUAGCUGGGGAAAAUGCCAGAAUGUAGUUGCCAUCAGAUUUGAUUGUGAACAAGGACUGACUGCAGAAAAUAAUGGAAAGGAUGUUUAACUCUUUUAUCUCCGAACAUUGAAUGAGAUAAAUUUCCAGAUGCUGUUCUCUAUUUUAAUGUUAUUGGACCAAUGUUCUGUAUAAACAAUUAAGAUGUAACCAUUUAAUAGUCUGU
rnacentral:lncRNA from 1 species